rnacentral:rRNA from 1 species
GUGAGGAAUAUUGCGCAAUGGAGGCAACUCUGACGCAGCCAUGCCGCGUGCAGGAAGAAGGCGCUACGCGUUGUAAACUGCUUUUAACCGGGAAGAAACCCCAGGACGUGUCCUGGGUUGACGGUACCGGAGGAAUAAGCACCGGCUAACUUCGUGCCAGCAGCCGCGGUAAUACGAAGGGUGCAAGCGUUAUCCGGAUUCAUUGGGUUUAAAGGGUGCGUAGGGGGAGCGUUAAGUCAGUGGUGAAAUCCUGCAGCUUAACUGUAGACUUGCCAUUGAUACUGGCGCUCUUGAGUGCGCUUGAAGUGGGCGGAAUGUGCCGUGUAGCGGUGAAAUGCUUAGAUAUGGCACAGAACACCAAUUGCGAAGGCAGCUCACUAAGGCGAUACUGACGCUGAGGCACGAAAGCGUGGGGAUCGAACAGGAUUAGAAACCCUGGUAGUCC